rnacentral:rRNA from 1 species
CAGCUAGUUGGUGAGGUAACGGCUCACCAAGGCCACGAUGCGUAGCCGACCUGAGAGGGUGAUCGGCCACACUGGGACUGAGACACGGCCCAGACUCCUACGGGAGGCAGCAGUAGGGAAUCUUCCGCAAUGGACGAAAGUCUGACGGAGCAACGCCGCGUGAGUGAUGAAGGUUUUCGGAUCGUAAAACUCUGUUGUUAGGGAAGAACAAGUACGAGAGUAACUGCUCGUACCUUGACGGUACCUAACCAGAAAGCCACGGCUAACUACGUGCCAGCAGCCGCGGUAAUACGUACGUGGCAAGCGUUGUCCGGAAUUAUUGGGCGUAAAGCGCGCGCAUGCGGUCCUUUAAGUCUGAUGUGAAAGCCCACCGCUCAACCGUG